AUGUCACAAGUAAAAUAUAGCAACAAGAGCAAGAAAGAUUCUUGUUCUAGUAGUUACAAUAAUCAUGUUAAAUUCAAUAUUGUUGCUUCUAGUAGUUCUAUUGAUUCCACUAAUGAUUCUCUUAGCCAAGUUACACUUGAGCAAGAAAAUAGCUUAUUGAAGGGAAUUAUAGAGAAAGGUGUUUACAAGAGCCUUGCCAGAAGUAAGCAGUUUGAGGAAAUUGUACCCAAGCAUGGAAGGCACCGGAAGAAUCAAGGUGUUCAUUUUGAAAGAAAGUUCAAUGCCAAUGGAGUCGAGUGGGAAGAAGGUCAAUACCCCAAGACAAAGUUUGUUCCUUAA
rnacentral:rRNA from 1 species